UGGGGGAAUAUUGCACAAUGGGGGAAACCCGUGAUGCAGCGACGCCGCGUGAGUGAAGAAGUAAUUCGUUAUGUAAAGCUCUAUCAGCAGGGAAGAAAAUAGACGGUACCUGACUAAGAAGCCCCGGCUAACUACGUGCCAGCAGCCGCGGUAAUACGUAGGGGGCAAGCGUUAUCCGGAUUUACUGGGCGUAAAGGGAGCGUAGACGGCCGUGCAAGUCUGAUGUGAAAAGGCUGGGGCUCAACCCCCGGGACUGCAUUGGAAACUGUAUGGCUGGAGUGCCGGAGAGGUAAGCGGAAUUCCUAGUGUAGCGGUGAAAUGCGUAGAUAUUAGGAGGAACACCAGUGGCGAAGGCGGCUUACUGGACAGUAACUGACGUUGAGGCUCGAAAGCGG
rnacentral:rRNA from 1 species